CUACGGGACGUACCAGUGAGGAAUAUUGCACAAUGGGGGAAACCCUGAUGCAGCAACGCCGCGUGGAGGAUGACGCAUUUCGGUGUGUAAACUCCUUUUAUAUGUCAAGAAAAUGACGGUAGCAUAUGAAUAAGCACCGGCUAACUCCGUGCCAGCAGCCGCGGUAAUACGGAGGGUGCAAGCGUUACUCGGAAUCACUGGGCGUAAAGGACGCGUAGGCUGGUUGGUAAGUCAGGUGUGAAAUCCUACAGCUUAACUGUAGAACUGCACUUGAAACUACCAACCUAGAGUAUGGGAGGGGGAGAUGGAAUUAGUGGUGUAGGGGUAAAAUCCGUAGAUAUCACUAGGAAUACCGAAAGCGAAGGCGAUCUCCUGGAACAUAACUGACGCUAAGGCGUGAAAGCGUGGGGAGCAAACAGGAUUAGAUACCCUAGUAGUC
rnacentral:rRNA from 1 species